GUCACUUUGCCGGAGUGGUUAACGGGAUCGCCUGCUAUUCUCAUAGUACAGCGGUUGGUCUUUGACCGCGAGUGUUCGAAUCGCUCAGGUGACG